AUGAAAAAAUUUUAGUCAAAAUUACACAUACAACUUUUAGCUAUGGGAAGACUUUUGCUCUUAUGAUGAGGAGAAAUUUUUGUAUGAGCUGGGCGUACAAAUUGUUUGUCACUUCACUUGUGACAUGCCGCCUUACAAACAGUCACAAAAUUCACUCUCUUUCUUCCACUGUUGUGUAUAGUAUAGGUAUCUUUCUGGCUUCCGCCCCUCCGGUCACGGCGGCGGCGGCAGCUGGGUUUCACAACAGCAGCAGCCAUGAACUUGAGACUGCCAUUUUAAAGAAAAGAAAACCUGGAGAUCUAGGCUGCACUGUGCCAUUUUAAAGCUAUUUUUUAUUACUCUUUUUGAUUUUGUUAAUGUCAAAUUUAUUCCUUUUCUGGACCAGGCGUUGAAGUUGUAAUUGCGUCACCUGGGAGGUUGAUUGAUAUGUUGGAUUCGCAUCGUACAAACUUGCGAAGGGUUACAUAUCUUGUGUUGGAUGAGGCAGAUCGGAUGUUAGAUAUGGGUUUUGAGCCUCAGAUUCGAAAGCUUGUUUCUCAGAUUCGCCCAGAUCGUCAAACUUUGUACUGGAGUUCUACCUGGUCUAAAGAGGUUGAACAACUUGCUAGACAGUUUCUUUACAUCCCGUACAAAAUGUGAAGGACGUGAAAUAUGCGAUAAAUUAUGACUUCCCUGGAUCCCUUGAGGACUAUGUUCACCGUAUUGGUCGAAUAGGAAGGGCC